rnacentral:misc_RNA from 1 species
ACAUGAUCUUCCAUGUUAUGAAAGGUAAGAUAUCAUUGGAUGUUUAACAUCAUCUUUUUCUAUCUCACAGUGCUAUCUAUCUUUAAUUCAAGUAGCUCGUUAACUACUGAUUGUUGUCAUUCUAAUUCUCUGAACUGAGUAGCUUUCCUUUGGCACUGUCUUUACAUAUUGCUGUUAUGGGAAUUCUGCUUUUUGAAGGAUUACUUCAUGCAACCUUGUAUAUGAAGUGGGGAACUAAAGAGAUUUACAGAAUUAUUUUUUGGAAGGGUUUUGGAAUUAUGUUUGCCAUGAGCAUCUUCAUUUUCCUGUGUUAUUUGAUGUGUAUGGCAUCAGUUUUAGUAAUUGUGAUGCUUGUACUGUUCUUUUUUCUCUGUCCUCUUCUUCCUCAUUCCUUUUUCUUUAGUUUUACUAAUGGCUUUAAGCUGGCAGAAUUCGACAAGAGUAAAGCCAUACAUGUCUUUUGUGGUCAUUUAGAUACUAUUAAAAUAGUGUUUUAUGUGCUUCUGUUUUUAUGGUCCAUAGGAGGUUCACUGGAUCUGGGUCAUGUUACAAAAUGAAGGUAGCUUUCCCUCAUUUCAAAACCAUUACAUCUUCCCCCAUUUCCAUUUGAAUGAGUGUUGAACCUAAUUUUUCCAAUUAGGAACUCCCUAGCUCAAACUGUGGAUUGUCUCCUUGGAGGCAUUGACAAUGACAUCCUAUAUUAAAGAAAACUACUGAAAUCAAUCGUAUCCCAAUUAUAUCAACAGUGAAAAGGUCUUACUGCAAUCAUCUUAUCUUGUCUGAGUGUAUAGUUGACUUUCUAACUUUGAUUGUUUCUGAUCUGCUUUGUUUUGUGUUGUUGAUCUCAAUUGGUUUGUAUGUAUUUCCUUUGAAUUUAUGGAUGUUCACACAUUUUCUAAGCAUUUUGAUUUAAGGUUGAACUUGUUUCUUUUCAUUUAUUUUGUUUUUGAUUAGCACAUAAACUUACUUGGACAAUGGCUCAAUCAAGUCCAUUGAAAUUUAUGCAUGUGUAUUUCAAAUUGCACCGUAAGUGGGAAAUUUAAUUCUGAGGUAUGCUAGGUCAAGUUACUGGUAAGAUGGUUAACCUGAAGACCUCCUAAUUGAUUUAGCUCAAUAAUCUUUUUAAUUAUUUGGUCAAUCUUUUUCUUUAAUGUUUUAAUUUUUCAUGGAAAUAGAUGGAAAUUCAGUGAUGAAAGU